rnacentral:misc_RNA from 1 species
GAUGAAGAACGUAGCGAAAUGCGAUAAGUAAUGUGAAUUGCAGAAUUCAGUGAAUCAUCGAAUCUUUGAACGCACAUUGCGCCCGCCAGUAUUCUGGCGGGCAUGCCUGUUCGAGCGUCAUUUCAACCAUCAAGCCCCGGCUUGUGUUGGGGACCUGCGGCUGCCGCAGGCCCUGAAAACCAGUGGCGGGCUCGCUAGUCACUCCGAGCGUAGUAGUUACAUCUCGCUCAGGGCGUGCUGCGGGUUCCGGCCGUUAAAAGCCUUAUUUACCCAAGGUUGACCUCGGAUCAGGUAGGAAGACCCGCUGAACUUAAGCAUAUCAAUAAGCGGAGGA